CGCUGUCCCAUUCACACCUUCGCGCACACUCUCUCCCAGGUCCCGGGAGCCCCCGCGCACACCAGCGCCCAGGUCCCGGCAGCCUCUGCGCACACCGUCCCUGGUCCCCGCGCACAUCUGCCCGCGACCUCCACCCGGCUCCCGUGGGCCCUUGCUCCCUUGCUCCCGCGGGGCUUGGCCACGUGUUGUUUGCUGUCUCGCAUGCCGCCUGGAACCCCUGGAAAUGAAGGCCCAGCCCCGUGCGCGCCUUGGAACCUGCAAAAUACAGGGCAAAGAGGACCAGAGCCUUGAAGACUACUAGCCAGAAGGCCCCCAUUGCUGUGUUUACACAAGAGGUGAGGCUGCCUGGACAUCUGGCCAGAUGCAGACUUCUCUGACUAAGCAGGUCCUCCUCCCUCUGGGUGGCCAGGGCCUUCCAUCUCCACCCGUGCUGGCUCAUGUCAGUCUGCUGCUGGGAGGGAACAGGUGAGUCAGCACAUCUCAGGUGCCUUUUCCUCCAUCCCAC
rnacentral:lncRNA from 1 species